rnacentral:rRNA from 1 species
UACGUAGGGGGCGAGCGUUGUCCGGAAUCAUUGGGCGUAAAGAGCUCGUAGGCGGCCUGUUGCGUCCGCUGUGAAAUCCCAGGGCUCAACCCUGGGCGUGCAGUGGAUACGGGCAGGCUGGAGGCAGGCAGGGGAGAACGGAAUUCCCGGUGUAGCGGUGAAAUGCGCAGAUAUCGGGAGGAACACCGAUGGCGAAGGCAGCCCCCUGGGUCAAGAUUGACGCUCAUGCACGAAAGCGUGGGGAGCAAACAGG